rnacentral:lncRNA from 1 species
GGCCAUUUUUCCGCUGGGGACUUUUGGCACCUCGACCUUCGGGCGCUUAUUUUUUGGCGCGGCUGUGAAUUUUCUUUUCUCUUCAUGAGGCUCAUUUUCUGCUUUUUUCCUGGAUUUUUUAGGCCUUCCAACCUUUUUUUGCACAAUUGGUAGAUCAAUCAAUGGUCUUCCUGUACGCUCCCAUGUGCAUUGAUCCGGAAGAGGGCUAAACAUCACUGAAUAUGUGUUGAGUAAGUCUGUGUAGCAAACCAUGCUGGAACAUACUCCUCAAUUGCAUGUCUUGCAUAUCCAAUGGCAGCCAUUGCAUGUUGACAAGGGAGGCCGUCAAUUUCCCAAUAACCGCAAUCACAUGUUCGGGACUCUAACUUCACCACAAACCUUCUAGGUGGACUAUAGGCUGCAUCAAUGACUUGAAAAUUCAGCUCACCAGAAGCUUGUGCAAUCAUUUUCUGUGCAAGCUUUCUUUUUCUGUCCAACUCUCUUACAACUUUAGGUGUCAGCUGUCCCUUCCAAGUGGCUGCCUCGUGUCUCCUCUUUGUAAACU